UUAAAAGUUGGAAACAAUGAAAAAUUCUCUAUAAUUGGGCACCUGGAGAGUUUGGAGUUAGUGGUGCAACCUGCCAAUAAUCGA
rfam:Clostridium autoethanogenum DSM 10061, complete genome.